rnacentral:snRNA from 1 species
GAUAACGCAGGUGUCCUAAGAU